UUAGAGUUUGANUCCUGGCUCAGGACGAACGCUGGCGGCGUGCCUAAUACAUGCAAGUCGAGCGAAUGACGAGAAGCUUGCUUCUCUGAUUUAGCGGCGGACGGGUGAGUAACACGUGGGCAACCUGCCCUACAGAUCGGGAUAACUCAGGGAAACCUGGGCUAAUACCGGAUAAUCCUUCGAAUCACAUGUUUUGAAGUUGAAAGGCGCUUCGGCGUCACUGUAGGAUGGGCCCGCGGUGCAUUAGCUAGUUGGUGGGGUAACGGCCUACCAAGGCAACGAUGCAUAGCCGACCUGAGAGGGUGAUCGGCCACAUUGGGACUGAGACACGGCCCAAACUCCUACGGGAGGCAGCAGUAGGGAAUCUUCCACAAUGGACGAAAGUCUGAUGGAGCAACGCCGCGUGAGUGAUGAAGGUUUUCGGAUCGUAAAACUCUGUUGUAAGGGAAGAACAAGUACGUUAGGAAAUGAACGUACCUUGACGGUACCUUAUUAGAAAGCCACGGCUAACUACGUGCCAGCAGCCGCGGUAAUACGUAGGUGGCAAGCGUUGUCCGGAUUUAUUGGGCGUAAAGCGCGCGCAGGUGGUUUCUUAAGUCUGAUGUGAAAGCCCACGGCUCAACCGUGGAGGGUCAUUGGAAACUGGGNAACUUGAGUGCAGAAGAGGAUAGUGGAAUUCCAAGUGUAGCGGUGAAAUGCGUAGAGAUUUGGAGGAACACCAGUGGCGAAGGCGACUGUCUGGUCUGUAACUGACACUGAGGCGCGAAAGCGUGGGAGCAA
rnacentral:rRNA from 1 species